UAGAGUUUGAUCCUGGCUCACCACGAACGCUGGCGGCGUGCCUAAUACAUGCAAGUCGAGCGAAUCAAUAGGAGCUUGCUCCUGUUGGUUAGCGGCGGCCGGGUGAGUAACACGUGGGCAACCUGCCUNNNNNNNNGGGAUAACACCGGGAAACCGGUGCUAAUACCGGAUAAUCCUUUUCCUCUCAUGAGGGAAAGCUGAAAGUCGNNNUNGGCUGACACUUACAGAUGGGCCCGCGGCGCAUUAGCUAGUUGGUGAGGUAACGGCUCACCAAGGCGACGAUGCGUAGCCGACCUGAGAGGGUGAUCGGCCACACUGGGACUGAGACACGGCCCAGACUCCUACGGGAGGCAGCAGUAGGGAAUCUUCCACAAUGGACGAAAGUCUGAUGGAGCAACGCCGCGUGAGCGAUGAAGGCCUUCGGGUCGUAAAGCUCUGUUGUUAGGGAAGAACAAGUACCGGAGUAACUGCCGGUACCUUGACGGUACCUAACCAGAAAGCCACGGCUAACUACGUGCCAGCAGCCGCGGUAAUACGUAGGUGGCAAGCGUUGUCCGGAAUUAUUGGGCGUAAAGCGCGCGCAGGCGGUCCUUUAAGUCUGAUGUGAAAGCCCACGGCUCAACCGUGGAGGGUCAUUGGAAACUGGG
rnacentral:rRNA from 1 species